rnacentral:tRNA from 2 species
AAGAGUAUAGCUUAAUGGUAAAGUUAAUGUCUUCAACACAUUCGAUGAUAGUUCAAUUCUAUCUACUCUUG